GAAUACCUAUGUCUAACUCUCUCGGUUUUGGAAAUGUGAAUUGGGAGAUUGUUAGUUUGUUUGUGGGAAUUGUGUAAAAGUUAAAUAUAAUCUAGUUACCCAUUUGGAUAUCCAAAUGGGUACCAAAAGUAUCCUUAAUCCAAAGAGUUCUCGUCGGUUAUGGUUGCUACUUAAUCAACUUUCGUAUAGAUAUAAUAAGAAUAUAUUGAAUAUUGACUUAGAUUUAUUUAAUGAGAUUACUCAUAAUUUUAGGAAUAAAUUCGUUGACUCAGAAAAACCGAAUAUAAAAAUCGGUUUAUCAAUGCCUAGUAAAUUUCGCUUUAAAACAGACGACGUUAUUCAUGCACUAAAGACUCAUAACAAAUUCUAAAAAGGCCCAGAUGGUAUCCCAUGUAUUUAUUAUCAGAAAGUUAUUUCAUGUGAUAUCAAUCAUUUCUGCUUUUUAUUUAGUACAACGUUAGAAAAGUGUUCCUGCCCUAAAGUGUAGACUCACUCGUAUCUUACUCCUAUAUUUAAUAGUAGUAGGUAGGCGG
rnacentral:lncRNA from 1 species